AACGAACGCUGGCGGCGUGGAUUAGGCAUGCAAGUCGAACGAGAUUUUUAGCAUUUUCGAAAAUCUAGUGGCGAAAGGGUGAGUAACACGUGGGUUAUCUGCCCUAGGGAUUGGGAUAACCCCGCGAAAGCGGGGCUAAUACCGGAUACGUCCUACAGUUUGCGAACUGUAGGGGAAAGUUGGGGACGGCGCAAGCCGCCUAACACCCUUGGAUGAGCCCGCGGCCUAUCAGCUAGUUGGUGAGGUAAUGGCUCACCAAGGCAAAGACGGGUAGCUGGUCUGAGAGGAUGGUCAGCCACACUGGAACUGAGACACUGUCCAGACAUCUACGGAUGGCUGCAGUCGAGAAUC
rnacentral:rRNA from 1 species